UCCGAGUUGACCCCGGCAGUCUCCUAUGAGUCCCCGGCUUGAACCGCUGGCAACAUAGGACAAGGGUUGCGCUCGUUGCGGGACUUAACCCAACAUCUCACGACACGAGCUGACGACAGCCAUGCAGCACCUGUCACCACGUCCCGAAGGGAACUCCGACUUUCACCGGAUAGCGUGGGAUGUCAAGCCCAGGUAAGGUUUUUCGCGUUGCAUCGAAUUAAACCACAUACUCCACCGCUUGUGCGGGCCCCCGUCAAUUUCUUUGAGUUUUAACCUUGCGGCCGUAAUCCCCAGGCGGGAUACUUAAUGCGUUAGCUGCGACACCGAGAGGGUAAGAACUCCCGACAUCUAGUAUCCAUCGUUUACAGCGUGGACUAC
rnacentral:misc_RNA from 1 species